CCUACGGGUGGCAGCAGUGAGGAAUAUUGGUCAAUGGGCGCGAGCCUGAACCAGCCAAGUCGCGUGAGGGAUGACUGCCCUAUGGGUUGUAAACUUCUUUUAUAUGGGAAUAAAAUGUUCCACGUGUGGGAUUUUGUAUGUACCAUAUGAAUAAGGAUCGGCUAACUCCGUGCCAGCAGCCGCGGUAAUACGGAGGAUUCGAGCGUUAUCCGGAUUUUUUGGGUUUAAAGGGAGCGUAGGUGGAAUGUUAAGUCAGUUGUGAAAGUUUGCGGCUCAACCGUAAAAUGGCAGUUGAAACUGGCAGUCUUGAGUGCAGUAGAGGUGGGCGGAAUUCGUGGUGUAGCGGUGAAAUGCUUAGAUAUCACGCAGAACUCCGAUUGCGAAGGCAGCUCACUGGACUGCAACUGACACUGAGGCUCGAAAGUGUGGGUAUCAAACAGGAUUAGAUACCCUUGUAGUC
rnacentral:rRNA from 1 species